UACGUAGGGACCAAGCGUUGUUCGGAUUCAUUGGGCGUAAAGGGUGCGUAGGUGGCUAGGUAAGUCAGGUGUGAAAUCUCGGGGCUCAACUCCGAAACUGCACUUGAUACUGCCUGGCUCGAGUACUGGAGAGGAGAUUGGAAUUUACGGUGUAGCAGUGAAAUGCGUAGAUAUCGUAAGGAAGACCAGUGGCGAAGGCGAAUCUCUGGACAGUUACUGACACUGAGGCACGAAGGCCAGGGGAGCAAACAGG
rnacentral:rRNA from 1 species